AAACCGCUAGAGGUAAACGGGUGGAUCCGCAAGUCGGCCUGGCGAAAUUCAGCUCGGAAGGUCGGUCGCGGGCGGCGGGCUGGAGAUCUCGUCGCGGACUCUCCCGUCGCUCGACGCCGGCCGGACGUGUGCACUUUUCGCGGGCAGAGCGCCACGACCGGUUUUCGGGUGGUCAGAAGGCGGCGAGGAAGGUAGGUGGGCGCCUCGGCGUUUGCUGUUAUAGCCUCGCCUGUCCCGAUCCGCUCGGAGACCGAGGAGCCGCCGCUUGGCUCGGGGCUACCCUGCUCUCCUGGAGGAUUCGACUGGCAGAGACUGGGAAACCGUGUCUGCUGACCGUCUUCCCGGACGGACGGGGGUGCUUUCAGCCCGCCAAGCACAGGGUCGGUGGCGAAUCGGUCGGCACUCCACCCGACCCGUCUUGAAACACGGACCAAGGAGUCUAACAUGCGCGCGAGUCGUUGGGUGGUACGAAACCCGAAGGCGAAGUGAAAGCGAGGGCCGUCCUUGCGACGUGCUCAGGUGGGAUCCUGCGCCAGAGAUGGCGCGGGCGCACCACCGGCCCGUCUCGUUCGCGUCGUCGAUGAGGCGGAGCAAGAGCGUGCACGUUGGGACCCGAAAGAUGGUGAACUAUGCCUGAGUAGGAUGAAGCCAGAGGAAACUCUGGUGGAGGUCCGCAGCGAUUCUGACGUGCAAAUCGAUCGUCAAACUUGGGUAUAGGG
rnacentral:rRNA from 1 species